CUGUGAUACUGCCUGCUACAGGAAGGCAUUGGAGUUGGUGCAUGAAGACGGUGUGCAGUUUAACAAUGCCGCCUGACCAUCCAAGUUCCUCCAGCAUCUUGUUCGUUGCUUCCUGGAAAUCCCUUAACCAAAGGCCUAUCCAGCAUUGGAAAUGAGGAUGCCCAUACAACAGGGCUUUUCACUGGUGAACGCAGCAGGCCAGGCAGCAUCUAUAGGAAGAGGCGCAGUCGACGUUUCAGGCCGAGACCCUUCGUCAGGACUAACUGAAGGAAGAGAAUUCUGCAGAUGCUGGAAUUUCAAGCAACAUACAUCAAAGUUGCUGGUGAACGCAGCAGGCCAAGUAGCAUCUAUAGGAAGAGGCGCAGUCGACGUUUCAGGCCGAGACCUUUCGUCAGGACUAACUGAAGGAAGAAUUGUUUGUUGCUCCAGAUUUCAGCAUCUCUGUUUCCUGUGGUUUCCAACUAAAGGUGAGUGGCCAGAUCAAGAUGAAUUUAACUUAGUGUAAACAGAAGAGAUUCUGCAGGUGCCUCAAGACCAGGGUAACACCACAGCAGAUCAAGCAGCAUCUACGGAAAGGAAUAAAGAGUCGCAGUUUUGGGUCGAGACCCUUCAUCAUGACUGGAAAGUAAGGGGGAAGACUGGGAGGUCAUCAUAUACUACCCUGAGAUUCAUUUUCUUGUGGACAUUCACAGUAAAACAAAGACAUUCAAUAGAAUCAAUGAAAAACUACACUCAAAGGCUGUCAAACAACCAUUGUGCAAAAGAGGACAAUCUGUGCAAAUACAAAAAAAUGCAAAUAAUAAUAAUAAAUGAAUAGUAAAUUGUAAUACCUGAGAACAUGUGUUGUAAAGUCCU